rnacentral:rRNA from 1 species
CUGGGAAACUGCCUGAUGGAGGGGGAUAACUACUGGAAACGGUAGCUAAUACCGCAUAACGUCGCAAGACCAAAGUGGGGGACCUUCGGGCCUCAUGCCAUCAGAUGUGCCCAGAUGGGAUUAGCUAGUAGGUGGGGUAACGGCUCACCUAGGCGACGAUCCCUAGCUGGUCUGAGAGGAUGACCAGCCACACUGGAACUGAGACACGGUCCAGACUCCUACGGGAGGCAGCAGUGGGGAAUAUUGCACAAUGGGCGCAAGCCUGAUGCAGCCAUGCCGCGUGUGUGAAGAAGGCCUUCGGGUUGUAAAGCACUUUCAGCGGGGAGGAAGGCGAUAAGGUUAAUAACCUUGUCGAUUGACGUUACCCGCAGAAGAAGCACCGGCUAACUCCGUGCCAGCAGCCGCGGUAAUACGGAGGGUGCAAGCGUUAAUCGGAAUUACUGGGCGUAAAGCGCACGCAGGCGGUCUGUCAAGUCGGAUGUGAAAUCCCCGGGCUCAACCUGGGAACUGCAUUCGAAACUGGCAGGCUAGAGUCUUGUAGAGGGGGGUAGAAUUCCAGGUGUAGCGGUGAAAUGCGUAGAGAUCUGGAGGAAUACCGGUGGCGAAGGCGGCCCCCUGGACAAAGACUGACGCUCAGGUGCGAAAGCGUGGGGAGCAAACAGGAUUAGAUACCCUGGUAGUCCACGCCGUAAACGAUGUCGAUUUGGAGGUUGUGCCCUUGAGGCGUGGCUUCCGGAGCUAACGCGUUAAAUCGACCGCCUGGGGAGUACGGCCGCAAGGUUAAAACUCAAAUGAAUUGACGGGGGCCCGCACAAGCGGUGGAGCAUGUGGUUUAAUUCGAUGCAACGCGAAGAACCUUACCUGGUCUUGACAUCCACAGAACUUAGCAGAGAUGCUUUGGUGCCUUCGGGAACUGUGAGACAGGUGCUGCAUGGCUGUCGUCAGCUCGUGUUGUGAAAUGUUGGGUUAAGUCCCGCAACGAGCGCAACCCUUAUCCUUUGUUGCCAGCGGUCCGGCCGGGAACUCAAAGGAGACUGCCAGUGAUAAACUGGAGGAAGGUGGGGAGGACGUCAAGUCAUCAUGGCCCUUACGACCAGGGCUACACACGUGCUACAAUGGCAUAUACAAAGAGAAGCGACCUCGCGAGAGCAAGCGGACCUCAUAAAGUAUGUCGUAGUCCGGAUUGGAGUCUGCAACUCGACUCCAUGAAGUCGGAAUCGCUAGUAAUCGUAGAUCAGAAUGCUACGGUGAAUACGUUCCCGGGCCUUGUACA